UACGAAGGGGGCUAGCGUUGUUCGGAUUUACUGGGCGUAAAGCGCACGUAGGCGGAUCGUUAAGUCGGGGGUGAAAUCCUGGAGCUCAACUCCAGAACUGCCUUCGAUACUGGCGAUCUUGAGUCCGGAAGAGGUGAGUGGAACUCCUAGUGUAGAGGUGGAAUUCGUAGAUAUUCGGAGGAACACCGGUGGCGAAGGCGGGUCUCUGGGCCGAUACUGACGCUGAGGAGCGAAAGCGUGGGGAGCGAACAGG
rnacentral:rRNA from 1 species